rnacentral:rRNA from 1 species
CACCGCGGUUAUACGAGUGACCCAAGUUGAUAGCCAUCGGCGUAAAGAGUGGUUAAUUAAUGAAACAACUAAAGCUGAACGUUCUCCUAGCUGUUAUACGCACCCGAUAAUAUGAAACACCCCUACGAAAGUGGCUUUAAAUUUUAUGAUCCCACGAAAGCUAAGACA